rnacentral:tRNA from 1 species
GAGGGUAUAGCUCAAUGGCAGAGUACCUGCUUAGCAUGCACGAGGUCCUGGGUUCAAUCCCCAGUGCCUCCA